rnacentral:lncRNA from 1 species
GGAGCUGAUGAAAAAGCAUCAUCCUCACUUGUUUGAGGAAUAAGGUAGAAGUUUAAGUUUGAGUUGAGAAUUGGAUUAGUUUCGAGGACGAAACUCCUUUUUAGGAGGGGAGGAUGUAAGAAAGUGAAUUCUCGAAAUCCGAGAGUUGUACUUCGUUCAGAAUCGACUAAUUGUUGAGUAGGGGUGCUUUGGAAAAGCCGAAGAAGUCAAAAACCCAAAAAGUGCAUUGCAACGG